UACGUAGGGUGCGAGCGUUAAUCGGAAUUACUGGGCGUAAAGCGUGCGCAGGCGGUUUGAUAAGACAGGCGUGAAAUCCCCGAGCUUAACUUGGGAAUGGCGCUUGUGACUGUCAGGCUAGAGUAUGUCAGAGGGGGGUAGAAUUCCACGUGUAGCAGUGAAAUGCGUAGAGAUGUGGAGGAAUACCGAUGGCGAAGGCAGCCCCCUGGGACGUCACUGACGCUCAUGCACGAAAGCGUGGGGAGCAAAC
rnacentral:rRNA from 1 species